rnacentral:tRNA from 1 species
GUCGCUGUAGCUCAACUUGGAAGAGCGUCUCUUUGUGGAAGAGAUGGUUGGGGGUUCGAUUCCCCUCAGCGACC